AUUGAACGCUGGCGGAAUGCUUUACACAUGCAAGUCGAACGGCAGCACGGACUUCGGUCUGGUGGCGAGUGGCGAACGGGUGAGUAAUACAUCGGAACGUGCCCAGUCGUGGGGGAUAACGUAGCGAAAGCUACGCUAAUACCGCAUACGAUCUAAGGAUGAAAGCGGGGGAUCGCAAGACCUCGCGCGAUUGGAGCGGCCGAUGGCAGAUUAGGUAGUUGGUGGGGUAAAGGCUCACCAAGCCGACGAUCUGUAGCUGGUCUGAGAGGACGACCAGCCACACUGGGACUGAGACACGGCCCAGACUCCUACGGGAGGCAGCAGUGGGGAAUUUUGGACAAUGGGCGCAAGCCUGAUCCAGCCAUUCCGCGUGCAGGAUGAAGAAUUUCGGUUCGUAAACUCCUUUCGACCGAGAUGAACACCUCGCGACCUAAUACAUCGCGGGGCUGACAGUAUCGAGAGAAGAAGCCCCGGCUAACUCUGUGCCAGCCGCCGCUGUAAGAC
rnacentral:rRNA from 1 species